rnacentral:rRNA from 1 species
GAUGAACGCUAGCGAUAGGCCUAACACAUGCAAGUCGAGGGGCAUCACAUGAAGUAGCAAUACGGAUGGUGGCGACCGGCGCACGGGUGAGUAACACGUAUGCAACCUGCCUUCAACAAGGGGAUAACCCGUUGAAAGACGGACUAAUACCCUAUAACACAGGGGUCCCGCAUGGGAAUAUUUGUUAAAGGACAACCGGUUGAAGAUGGGCAUGCGUUCCAUUAGCUAGUUGGCGGGGUAACGCCCACCAAGGCAACGAUGGAUAGGGGAACUGAGAGGUUUAUCCCCCACACUGGUACUGAGACACGGACCAGACUCCUACGGGAGGCAGCAGUGAGGAAUAUUGGUCAAUGGACGCAAGUCUGAACCAGCCACGUCGCGUGAAGGAAGACGGCCCUACGGGUUGUAAACUUCUUUUAUACGGGAAUAAAGUGCCCCACGCGUGGGGUUUUGCAUGUACCGUAUGAAUAAGG